rnacentral:lncRNA from 1 species
UGGGUUAGGGUUAGUCGACCGUGGUUUGACUUCCACUCUAGGUAUAUGUGCUAGAGCAAAAGGCUGACUAGACCCUAAGUAUAUGUGUUAGGGUUAGUCGGAUGAACUCUAUGUAUAUAUGUUAGAGUUCGAAUAGACUUGAUAUCAUUUGACUGAAUUCUACGUAUAUGACUUAGAACUCUGUCGAUUUGGAGAUGUUUUGCCUUAGUUAUAUGUGCUAAGGCGAUUGAGUUAGCCUUAAGUAUAUGUAUUAGGGGUAGUCGAUAUUUAAUUUUCACUCUAGGUAUAUGUGCUAGAGUAAAAAAAAGGUUCACGAUGAGAUUUGGGUAUUGGUUCAUGAGAUUUGAGUAUUGGCUCAUGAGAUUUGGUUCAUGAAUUUGGAUAUGGUUCAUGAAUUUGGUGUAUGGACUCGGUUCAUGAACUUGGAUAUGGUUCAUGGAUUUGGUGUAUGGAUUUGGUUUAUGAACUUUGAUAUGGUUCAUGGGUUUGGUGUAUGGAUUUGGUUCAUGAACUUUGAUAUGGUUCAUGGGUUUGGUGUAUGGAUUUGGUUCAUGAACUUUGAUAUGGUUCAUAGGUUUGGUGUAUGGAUUUGGUUCAUGAACUUAGAUAUGGUUCAUGGGUUUGGUGUAUGGAUUUGGUUCAUGAACUUGGAUAUGGUUCAUGGGUUUGGUGUAUGGAUUUCAUGAACUUGGAUAUGGUUCAUGGGAUUUGGUGUAUGGAUUUGGUUCAUGAACUUGGAUAUGGUUCAUGGGUUUGGUGUAUGGAUUUGGUUCAUGAACUUGGAUAUAGUUCAUGAGUUUGGUGUAUGGAUUUGGUUCAUGAACUUGGAUAUGGUUCAUGGGUUUAGUGUAUGGAUUUGGUUUAUGAACUUGGAUAUGGUUCAUGGGUUUGGUGUAUGGAUUUGGUUCAUGGUUCAAGGAAUUUGGGUUUAGUUUAACGACUUUUCGGUCGUUUGGAUUUGGGUUUAGUUUAACGACUUUUCGGUCGUUUGAAAUUUGGAUUUAGUUUAACGACUUUUUGGUCGUUUGAAAUUUUGGUUUAGUUUAGCGACUUUUCGGUCGUUUGAAUAUGGGUUUAGUUUAGCGACUUUUCGGUCGUUUGAAUAUGGGUUUAGUUUAGGGACAUUUCGGUCGUUUGGAUUCGGGUUUAGUUUAGUGACUUUUCGGUCGUUUGAAUAUGGGUUUAGUUUAGCGACAUUUCGGUCGUUUGAAAUUUGGGUUUAGUUUAGCGACAUUUCGGUCGUUUGAAAUUUGGGUUUAGUUUAUCGACGUUUCGGUCGUUUGAAAUUUGGGUUUAGUUUAUCGACGUUUCGGUCGUUUGAAAUUUGGGUUUAGUUUAGCGACGUUUCGGUCGUUUGAAAUUUGGGUUUAGUUUAGCGACGUUUCGAUCGUUUGAAAUCGAGAUGUUCAUGAAGCUGAUUCAUGAAAUUAAUUCAUGCUAGGGGCCUAUUUGUAACGUCCAUUGAAUUAAUUGAUGAAAUUAAUUCAUGAUAGGGGCCAUUUGGAGAGCCCAUUAGAUAACAUAGGUUUGGUAGAUUUGAUUGGGUUUUAUUUAUGGACUUUGGAUUUUGGAUUUUUAUUUGUGAACUUUGGGUUUUGGAUCUUUAUUCGUGGACUUUGUGGACUUUGGGUUUUGGAUCUUUAUUUGUAGACUUUGUGGAUUUUUGGGUUUUUGGGUUUUUAUUUGUGGACUUUGUGGGUUUGGGUUUUUGGGUUUUUAUUUGUGGACUUUGUGGGUUUGGGUUGUGGAUCUUUAUUUGUGGACUUUGUGGGAUUGGGUUGAGGGAUUUUAUUCAUAUGUUUUUAUUGGCUUUGGAUCCAAAUCUGAA